rnacentral:rRNA from 1 species
CAGCCGCCGCGGUAAUACGAAGGGUGCAAGCGUUAAUCGGAAUUACUGGGCGUAAAGCGUGCGUAGGUGGUGGUUUAAGUCCGUUGUGAAAGCCCUGGGCUCAACCUGGGAAUUGCAGUGGAUACUGGGUCACUAGAGUGUGGUAGAGGAUAGUGGAAUUUCCGGUGUAGCAGUGAAAUGCGUAGAGAUCGGAAGGAACAUCUGUGGCGAAGGCGACUAUCUGGGCCAACACUGACACUGAGGCACGAAAGCGUGGGGAGCAAACAGGAUUAGAUACCCGGGUAGUCCCUGUCUCUUAUAC